rnacentral:rRNA from 1 species
CACGUAGGGGACGAGCGUUGUCCGGAAUUAUUGGGCGUAAAGAGCUCGUAGGCGGCUUGUCACGUCGGUUGUGAAAGCCCGGGGCUUAACCCCGGGUCUGCAGUCGAUACGGGCAGGCGUAGAGUGUGGUAGGGGGAGAUCGGAAUUCCUGGUGUAGCGGUGAAAUGCGCAGAUAUCAGGAGGAACACCGGUGGCGAAGGCGGAUCUCUGGGCCAUUACUGACGCUGAGGAGCGAAAGCGUGGGGAGCGAACAGG